AACGAACGCUGGCGGCAGGCUUAACACAUGCAAGUCGAGCGCCCCGCAAGGGGAGCGGCAGACGGGUGAGUGACACGUGGGGAUCUGCCCAAUGGUACGGAAUAGCUCCGGGAAACUGGAAAUAAUACCGUAUGUGCCCGCAAGGGGAAAGAUUUAUCGCCAUUGGAUGAACCCGCGUCGGAUUAGCUAGUUGGUGAGGUAAAGGCUCACCAAGGCGACGAUCCGUAGCUGGUCUGAGAGGAUGAUCAGCCACACUGGGACUGAGACACGGCCCAGACUCCUACGGGAGGCAGCAGUGGGGAAUAUUGGACAAUGGGCGCAAGCCUGAUCCAGCCAUGCCGCGUGAGUGAUGAAGGCCUUAGGGUUGUAAAGCUCUUUCGCCGACGAAGAUAAUGACGGUAGUCGGAGAAGAAGCCCCGGCUAACUUCGUGCCAGCCGCCGCCGUAACAC
rnacentral:rRNA from 1 species